UACGUAGGUGGCAAGCGUUGUCCGGAUUUACUGGGCGUAAAGAGCGCGCAGGCGGUCGUUCAAGUCGCGUGUGAAAGCCCCCGGCUCAACUGGGGAGGGUCACGCGAUACUGAUCGACUCGAAGGCAGGAGAGGGAAGUGGAAUUCCCGGUGUAGUGGUGAAAUGCGUUGAUAUCAUCAGGAACACCAGUGGCGAAAAGCGGCUCACUGGGUCUUUCCUAACGCUGAGGCACGAAAGCUAGGGGAGCGAACCGGGAGUUAGAA
rnacentral:rRNA from 1 species